rnacentral:tRNA from 1 species
GCGGGAAUGCCGGAGCGGUCAAACGGACUUGGCUAAGGACCAAGUGGCUUAGUGCCUGCGAAGGUUCGAAUCCUUCUUCCCGCA